rnacentral:rRNA from 1 species
GCAAGUCGAACGAGAACCCACUUCGCGUGGGGGACAGUGGCGAAAGGGCGAGGAACACUAUCGAACGUGCCCCGAGGUGGGGGAUAGCGUCGGGAAACUGACGGUAAUACCCCAUGUGCUCUUCGGAGGAAAGGUUUACCGCCUUGGGAGCGGCGAUCGUCCUAUCAGGUUGUUGGUGAGGUAAAGGCUCACCAAGCCGAAGACGGGUAGCGGGUGUGAGAGCAUGACCCGCCGCAUCGGGACUGAGACACUGCCCGGACUCCUACGGGAGGCUGCAGUAACGAAUAUUCCGCAAUGGGCGAAAGCCUGACGGAGCAAUGCCGCGUGUGGGAUGAAGCGUCUACGACGUGUAAACCACUGUCAGGGUCUAGGAACAAUGACCAGACCCAAAGGAAGGGCCGGCUAAUUCAGUGCCAGCAGCCGCGGUAAUACUGAAGGCCCGAGCGUUAAUCGGAAUCACUGGGCUUAAAGGGUGCGCAGGCGGAUUCGCAGGCAUCUCGUGAAAUCCCACGGCUCAACCGUGGAACUGCGGGGUGAACCGCGAGUCUUGAGGCAAGUAGGGGUCAGUAGAACCAUGGGUGGAACGGUGAAAUGUGUAGAUAUCCAUGGGAACGCCAAUGGCGAAGGCAGCUGACUGGGCCUGUCCUGACGCUCAGGCACGAAAGCGUGGGGAGCGAACGGGAUUAGAUACCCCGGUAGUCCACGCCGUAAACGAUGUGUACUAGAUCGAGGUGGUGUUCACGCCUUCUCGGUCGAAGAAAAAUCGUUAAGUACACCGCCUGGGGAGUACGGUCGCAAGGCUAAAACUCAAAGGAAUUGACGGGGGCUCACACAAGCGGUGGAGCAUGUUGCUUAAUUCGGAGGCACGCGAAGAACCUUACCUGGUCUUGACAUGCAUGGAUUAACCUU